GAUCCUGGCUCAGGAUGAACGCUGACAGAAUGCUUAACACAUGCAAGUCGACUCGAGUCUUCGGACUUGGGUGGCGCACGGGUGAGUAACGCGUAAAGAACUUGCCUCUUAGACCGGGACAACAUCUGGAAACGGAUGCUAAUACCGGAUAUUAUGGUUUUUUCGCAUGGAGGAAUCAUGAAAGCUAGAUGCGCUAAGAGAGAGCUUUGCGUCCCAUUAGCUAGUUGGUGAGGUAACGG
rnacentral:rRNA from 1 species